rnacentral:rRNA from 1 species
CCUACGGGUGGCAGCAGUGGGGAAUAUUGCGCAAUGGGCGAAAGCCUGACCCAGCAACGCCGCGUGAAGGAAGAAGGCUUUCGGGUUGUAAACUUCUAUCAAGAGGGAAGAGCAGAAGACGGUACCUCUUGAAUAAGCCACGGCUAACUACGUGCCAGCAGCCGCGGUAAGACGUAGGUGGCAAGCGUUGUCCGGAUUUACUGGGUGUAAAGGGCUUGUAGGCGGGCAGACAAGUCAGAUGUGAAAUUCCGGGGCUCAACCCCGGACCUGCAUUUGAAACCGUUGGGCUUGAGUAUCGGAGAGGCAGGCGGAAUUCCUAGUGUAGCGGUGAAAUGCGUAGAUAUUAGGAAGAACACCAGUGGCGAAGGCGGCCUGCUGGACGACAACUGACGGUGAGGCGCGAAAGCGUGGGGAGCAAACAGGAUUAGAUACCCGGGUAGUC